UUGCCUUACCCGAUCGUUACGCCCUCUUUUUCUCAUCCUAAAUCCCCCAAAUAAAAUUUAGCUACUCUUUUGCUCAUUCAGAACUUUUAACUCCAUGCCCAUUGCCAUUUUUUCUACCUCAACCCCGAUUCUUAAACGCCCAAAUUUGGAACCCUAGAUUUUUCUCUGCAGAACUUUUCUUAAUCCUUAUUUCGUCUUUGAUUUCGAGAAGCGUAAGUGGCAGCGUCCAGACAGUAAACGCCACUGCCACAGCCAUCGUUUCUGCCGAGUCCUCAUUCCAUCCCUGAGUCUUCAAUUGUUUUAACUAUUCCAAUCUUUGAGGCCAACUGCUUCAAUCUCUUCUAUCAAGUCUAUUUACCUUCUCUCCGAUCACUGUAACAUUUCCAUUCCCUCUUUUUAUUUUCUCCAAUUUAUCUUUUCUUCUUCUUUUUAAUGGUGUUUAACAUUUGCAACAAAUUGAUGGGUUUUUUUUUCUUUUACCUUUUAACGAAGUGUUAUAAAUCAUUUACUAUCAAUUUUCCUUUUCAGACUAUAGAGGUGAUCAUCCGCGAUACGGAUCUACACUGGCUUCCCGCAAGGGAAUGGGCGACCUCGUUCCCAAGGGCACCGGUGUGGCAUUAUAGCUACUGUUUUCAGCACUACUGGAUUCCUUGGUCGUUAUCUUGUGCAACAACUGGCUAAAAUGGGAUCUUAGGUGUUAGUUCCCUUCAGAGGUUCCGAGGAUAACCCUCGUCGUCUCAAGUUGAUGGGAGAUUUAGGACAGGUUGCAUACCUUAUGGAAUUGCGUUUUUUCCCUUUCUAUCUUUGAAUUCAUAUUGAAGUGAUUGUUGUGUUUUUAUUUGGAUUUAAUUUGAUAUUUCUCUUUUAACUUUCUUUCCAUCAUGUCCUGUACUUUUUUUCUUUUUUUUUUCCUUUCAAUUUUACUGGAUAGCUUUAAAUCAUUACUAUUCUUAUUAGUUUGUUCUCACUGCUUAGAUUGAAGGUAGCUGAAAUGGAAAGAAAAAAUUCAAAUUAUUUUUUGUGGUAGAGUAGGGCUUUAUGUUAGUGAUUAUGGGUUUUCGUUAUUCAAUUGGAAGGGUGUCAGGGUUUGAGAGAAGUAGCAGGGUAUAUUAAGGCACAGUUGGAAAGGUUGAAGGACAGAGCUGGGUCAAAUUUCAGGAUUGAGAUUGAAGAGAAUGUUGUUGGUGGGUCAUUCAAUAUGAUGUUCUUAGGACAUGGUAUAUCAUUUGGUUAUAGAAAUCAUAGAAAUAUUUUGGUGAGAAGGAUCUCCGUGCUGUAAUGCUGAAACGUCAUUUUGCAGACACUACUCCGUACUGCAAUGCUAAAAUGUCAUUUUGCAGACACUAUUCUAAAAGCUAAGAAGAAGGCACUAUUGGAUCAUAAAAGGAAAAGAUUGAAGCUCAAAUCUUAGCUGCUGAAGCAGAAGCAAAAAUGAAGGCAGAGGUUGAGUUGAAAAAGCAACGGGAAAGAGAAAGAGAAGCUGCUUGAAUUGCAUUACAAAAGGUGUAUAGAGGUAUCUUCGCCACGUUCCUCACAGGUUCAAGACAGGUUUCAGGGAAGGUACUAAAGCAGCACCAAGAAAGAAGGUUGCAGCAGCUUUUGCUUAAAAGUCAAAUUGUAAUGGUAUGAGGUUUUGUUUUGGAUGAAGCCAUGUUUAUGAGGAAACAUUUAGUGAUGAAGAGUGAAAUUAUGUUCCAUUGGAUGCUUUAGUUGUUAUUUAUUUUCUAUUUGAAUGUAGCUGUCUUAAAUUUUGAACAAUUAUUGGAGCUAGUGUUUGACGCUUAAUUUCUUUAUUGUCUUUUUUUUUUUAA